CAUAUAGUAUCGAUCCACUAUAGUGUACAUUACAUGACGUAGCACGGAGAGGUAGAGCGAGAAAGAGAGACUUGUCAACUUCGGAAAAUCUCGGUUCAAAACCGAACCGAAAAUGCAAGACUUGCUUCGAUUGUUUUCCUUCAAUUUCUUUCUGUAUUAUUUACUAUAAUGGAACACAUGUUAUUUACACUGUGUUAGAUCAAUA